GGCGCGGGGCGGCCGGGCUGGGAAGGACGCGGCGGGCAGCCGGGGGCGGGGCAGCCACGGCCGAGGGCGUCGAGGAUGGAGGCUGGGGGCGGCCCCAGGGCAUCCCCGCGGGUGCGGGGCAGAUCCGCAGAGGCUCUGGAAGGUUUGGAAGGGUGGGGGUGGAGAGCUCUGCGGGCAGUCAGGGUCUCUUGGCCUGGGCCCUGGGGGCCGAGGGCAUCCCCACAGCAGCACGGGGCAGUGGUGGGCUAGUGGAGUAGCACCAGGGCAGGCAUGGGGUGCUGGGAAGCGCUGAGGCUUGGAGGGGCAAAGUACUGUGGCUUUGAGAGGGUCUGGAUGAAGCAGCAUUGGGGACCAGAAGGGGUGAGGGCUGUUGGGAUGGGAAAGGAGGGAAGUAUGGGGGCAUGGGAAGGAUCAUGGAGAUGAAGGCCCCAGAGAAUGAUAGGGUGAUGUGGUGCAAGGGCUCUGUUGGAGAAGGGAGUGAGAGAGGCCAACUGUGCUUUUGGAAGAGUGCAAGGCUUUGGGGGCAAGACUGGUACAGCAGGUAUGCAGACAUUUGCAUAGUACAGUGGGAAGCUAUGUGGGCAUGGGGGUGGUGGGCAGAUACAAGGACUGUGGGAAUGGCAGGCCACUGAGGGCAUUGGGCCAUGGUUUAUGAGAGUAUUGUGGGGAGUGACUGCCAUGAGCAGGGACUCUGGGGGUGUGAGGUGGUUCAAGAUCUUUGUGGAGGAGGGGGUUGAUUUGACAAAAAUGUUCUUGAAAGAUAAACUGUGCCCAGAUUGAGCAAUCAGUGCCAGGCAGCUGCCUGGAGGCAGGGAAGAUCUGUUUCAGGUCCAGAACCCAGGGCACCUGUUGCUCUGCCCUUGCAAGUGGUGGGGCUGAGGCUUUACACAGCUGUAACCUAAGCCCAGUAAGAUGGAUGCAGAGCAGUGGCUUGUGACUUUUGACUUCUUGCUAUGACUGUCAACAGUGAACAAAAAUGACCUUUGGACAUAUCCUGGGAAACAAAUUAAUGCCCCUCCUCCCUGAAGAAUAGCCAGUAACCCUAUGGUUGGGGCACUUGCCUGGGAUGUGAGAAACCUGGGUUCUGGUUGACUGGUCUCUUCUGUUGACUCUGAGGAGGGACUUGAACAUGUGCAGGUCUGGGACACAGCUGGUCAGGAGCGGUUCCGGAAGAGCAUGGUUGAGCACUACUAUCGCAAUGUGCAUGCUGUUGUCUUUGUCUA